AUGAGCUGGGUCCCCUCCUGCGCCCCGUCCCAGCAGGGAGCCCCUGGCUGCUGCCACCCACCAGCACGGGGCGAAUCCCCGUGGGUUUCGGGCCCAUCGGUGACCCCCUGCGGCGGCGUGGCGGGGUGCUGGCGGGCAGCUCCCAGCCUCAGCCCUGCUCCUCGUAACCCCGACCCGUGCAGGGAGCCACCAGCCAUCCUACGCCCAGGGGGCUGCUCGUGCAGCCAGGCUGGCCCCAGUGACCCGCUGCACGUGUCUGCGUGGCCACGGCCAGCAGAGUCCCCCCGACACGAGAGCUGCACCCCACUGCCCCUUCAGCCACAGGGUGAGUGCGUUUUAAUAACUGCAACUGGGGACGGGGGAGAACCGGUCAAAUUCACGUUUCGCCGCAUCUCUGGGGGUGCUGCUGGGUUGCAGCAUCCCUCAGGGGGUGGGAAAAGAGGGGGGCUGGGGAGCACAGGGGGGCAGGUACCCGCGUGUAGCUGGGCAGGGUGGCACGAGUACAGCGCUGCGUGUCCGGCUUGGGCACCGCACAGGUCCGUGACAGCAAUGCCCAGCCCCCUGUGCCCUCGGUGUCACUUGUUCCACACCACGCAUGGCAGCUCACGGCCUCCUGGCUCUGCAAGGCGAGGAUGGGGUGGGCUUUGUGCUGCUCCAGCCCGNNNNNNNNNNNNNNNNNNNNACCUGGGGGACAGUGGGGGGACCCCAGAGCCUGGCUCCUCUGUGUGGGGGGGCUCAGAGAACCAGCAGGGAGCAUCUCAGCAGUGCCCCCACCCUCCUGAACUAAAUGCAGAACUCGGGGACAAAGCCUCCAAGUGCCCAUGGCCGGGGGUGUCCUGGCAGCCGGGGGGGCCCUGGAGCUUGGGGCUGCGGCCACGGGGGGCUGGCAGCAGGGUGGUGCCACUGAGGGUAAGCGCCGGGCUGGGAAACGGGGCUGCCCAAAGCUGGGGGUGGCAGCACGUAGCCCCGGGCCCAGCAGGAGCAAAGUUAGCGCAGGAGCUGCCCUGGGGCUGCUGGCUGCACUUUGCCUCGGGACGUGCCCUGGCUCUGCUCGUCCAUCGGGGUGAGCAGCUCCAGCCCCCGACUUUCCCCUGGUCCCUUCCUGCGCGGCUCCUGCAGGGGCUGUCCCCCUGCUCCCAGCAACCUGCUCCUGUGGCUGGGGCAAUCAGAGGCCGUUGA
rnacentral:lncRNA from 1 species